AAGGAAAGAGCAAAGCCUGGGACCAGUAAAAAAAAAGUCAGCAAGAUGAGCUUUGUGCGCAUUAUCUCUGGGUUUUCUGCAGUGCACAGUGGGAGCUCUCCACUGCUUUGCUGAGAGGCAGAUCCCAGCUGAAUUCUCAGAAACUGGCUUUGGAAAGUGCUACCCCGUGCAUAGCUUCUUCAGUGUACACACCAGCCUGUGUAAGAAUUUGCUGUUGGGCACCUGUCACCUACUAUAAGAUGAAGAGACGGAGAUGUCUAGCAUUUAAGUGAUUUCUUCAGACCACACAGCGAGUAUUUACUGAAGGCCUUCCACAGUUCAGGCACUGUGUUAAGCCUCCCUUUAAGAGGAAGAUGAGGAACCUCAGUGCUGAGCCUGAAGGGGAUUCUAAGGAAGAAGCCACAAGGAACCAGCCAAUGUCAAGGAACCCAGGAGCAGAUGAGAAGGGAGUCAGGUUUUUAAUGCCAAACAUGCAUCACUGAACAGGGGAUAGAAUGAUGAGCAAAAAUGGACUUCGUGGAGCUUACAGCAAACUGAAAGAGAGAGACCCCAAUCAAGCAAUCAUAAAAACAAAAGCAAGACAAAACAAAAACCCACCAUGGGCAAAAGAAAUUCUUUUGAAAAUCAUUCAGUCAAAAAUGAAGCCUGGGUAACUGCAGGUACAGGAGUGAGCCGAAAAAAGAAGGACAGAUUGAAGAUAAAAGCAGCAGAAGUGAGCCCCACACUCCUCCUCUUCUUGGCAUCCAUUUCUAGAACAACUACUAGCUUGGAUUUACACCCAGACUAAGAAAACAAACAAAUAAAAGCCAAAACCAAAUCAAACCCAAACAAAAUACUGGGCACACCUCUAAAAAAACAAAACAAUCUUUAGAAAGCAAAGACUUCUAUGUAGGUAUUGCUGCCCCAGAAUAAAGCAUUUUUUCUUCAGAA